rnacentral:rRNA from 1 species
AUGGAGUGCCUUGGUUUUAUGGCUUCAUCAUGCUUAAUACAGAAUGAUUUUAUAUGCUGCAUGAAAUCUCUGUUGGUCAAUAUGUUGGAGUGUCGUACGAGCAAGGUUUACAUUGACACCUGCCUGGUAUCUAACUCGAGCCCAGAUUCCGAUCUUGAUCGUUUGGCAUACACUUCAGGUCGUUUCAUAUAUCAGACAAUUAUGGCUAUCUUGACGAGCAAGCAUAUGCUCCAGGAAUGGGUACAUAAAACUUCAUGUCCUUCUAGUACUUCAUACAAACCGGUCCUCCUUAGACUAGUUGUUACACUUUAUCCACUGAUCCUUACUCUUUCUCUGGGGAAUUGCUACGAGGUCACACAUAACCUCCUGGGGAAUGAAGUGUUUAAGGAUUUACCUGUGGAGUUCUCUCAGAAGAUUGUACAUGCUUUGCAAAUUAAGUCUCGCACACCAAGCAACUUCACAAGAGUGCUUGCUAAUGCACUCGCCGCAAUCGGAGAUAAUAUGGUAGUUAUUGCCUUAUUGGUACACCCAAGAGCCCGGUAG